CUAUUAAAAAAUAAAAAAUCAGAUAAGUGAAAUCUAUAUUUUUAAAUAGAAUAAACCUAAAAAUGAAAAAUUAUUUUUUUUUUCAAAAUCUCAAUAUCCGAACCCAAUCCAAAAUAACCAAAUCCGAACUAAAAUACCCGAACCCGAUCCGAAGUAUAGAAAUACCCGAACAGGUUCAAUACCCCUAUACCGAAAUACCCAAAAAUCUGAAAUACCGGACCAACCCCGAACGGGUAUCCGACAAAUAAUCUUCUGCAUUUUUUUAUGUACACUUACUGUUUAAAACUAAAAACAUUUAUAUUUAUUUCAAACUUAUUAAUAUCAUUAAAUUAUGAAACUAAUAUGAAAAUUAUUUGACAUAUAUAUAUAUGGAUGAUGAUGAUUUAUUAGCGAAAGAGAAAAAGAUAGUCUCCAUGUUUUAAUGUCAUUCUCGACUUUCCAUGUGGGGAAGAAAAUUUAUAAUUUUAUACAAAAAUCUCUCCUCAAACCCAAAAUGCUAAUUUCUUUUGGCUUCUUCUUCAUUCUUCCCAGAUUCUCUGUAGAGGAGGAUCUAUGAAUCCAUCUCCUCCCCCUAUCUAAGCUCCUCUUCUUCUUCUUUUCCAUCGGUUACUCUGUUUCAGAAGAUUUUUUUGACUGAAGGCAUUCACUCUAUUUCAGAAGCUUCCAGAAGCAUCAAUGGCCGAGAGUUUAUCUGUUAAUACGGAAAAACUAUCUCUUUCUACCACUCUCAUCUAAUCUUUCGUGAUUUAAGCUUCUAGGUUACUCUGCAUGUUAGUUUUAUCAUUGGAAUCAACCUUCAAAAAUCUUCUCUUUUUUUCUUCAUAAGAUUUAAAAAUUUGGUUUUUUAAGCUCUAAAGGUUUACUUAUAUUCUCAGGUUUUAAUGUUUGAUGUAAACAGGACAGUGCAGAAAUUGUAAUAAAACAACCAAAGAGAUCACAUCUGUUCUUAAAGAUGAUAGUUUUGGUGUUUGCAAUGGUCCGUGGUCUCUAAAUUUGCUCCGUCUGCUUAAAACAGUUUAGUGUCCAAACCUCACAACUUGUUCGAACUCGUAUCACCACUCGGAUUCAUUACCCAGAGCCAGAGACUUUCAAUAGGUAAGUAACUCUUCUUGUUUCUUUGUUUGUUUAUUCACUUCUAACUGUGAAACUGAUCUGAAUGUGGGCACAAUCCGGUGAGGUUCUUUGCGAUACUAUCGAUGCAGAGAUCAGGAAGCGGUUGGUUCGAAACGUUGGUUUGAUAUCUCUCCACCGAUUCGUUACCCAGUGCUUGAAAAUAUGACGACUACGAAUCAGUUAAAUGGAGAAGCUCCACUGCUUGUGUAGGUGGAAGCUCAAGCAACAACCGGAAACCUCGGCGUUAUCUGGAGUUAGCAUCGUUAUUUGCCAAAAUUUCCGCCGCGGAGAUGAAACGAUUCAAGAGAAACCCUCGAACAGAUCUAAGCAAAGCAUUAAAGACGAAUCGUGGAGGAGAGUCAAUAGGAUUUAACACGAAGCCAUUAAUCAAACCGUUGCAGGUCGGGAGACGAAUUGCAAAAGUCACGCCUAGCCGUCUCACGAAGAGGAGCGAUGAAUUCCGUUUUCUCGCUGCAGCCGUAUUAGGGAUAGACGGAGCCCAUUAUCGUUGGGCCGGAAACACUUCUAAUCUCACUGCCCAUGAACACACUAAAGAACGAAACCGAAAAUGUUGAAGUUUAAUGAAACGUGCGGUUUGCCUUAUGGACACGUGUCAUUACGAUAUGAAAUGACUUAUCUACGUGGAUCCUAGGUGUCUCUCUAAGGAGAGAGCAAACCAUACUUUAUAAAAAUAGAUAUAGAAAUGUAAUAAAAUUGUAAGAAUGUUAAUGAUUUUAAGAUGAUUUUUAUUUUCAAUACUUAAUAUGAAUUUUUUUAUUACC